rnacentral:misc_RNA from 1 species
AAAGUCGUAACAAGGUUUCCGUAGGUGAACCUGCGGAAGGAUCAUUACUGAAUUACUGAGAGGUUGUUGCUGGCUCUUCGGAGCAUGUGCACACCUUUCAAAUUCAUCUCAACCACCUGUGCACCUCUGUAGACUAUGGCAACGCUCAGCUCUUUUGCUGGAUAGAGGGACUUGCGUUAAGCAUGUCCUUCAAUGUUGUAGUCUACGUUUAUCUAUCCACUAUAUUGUUCAGAAUGUCUUUAUUAGGUCUUGCACCGAUAAACUUAUACAACUUUCAACAACGGAUCUCUUGGCUCUC